GGGGAAUAUUGGGCAAUGGGCGAAAGCCUGACCCAGCAACGCCGCGUGAAGGAAGAAGGUCUUCGGAUUGUAAACUUCUUUUAUGAGGGACGAAGGACGUGACGGUACCUCAUGAAUAAGCCACGGCUAACUACGUGCCAGCAGCCGCGGUAAUACGUAGGUGGCAAGCGUUAUCCGGAUUUACUGGGUGUAAAGGGCGCGUAGGCGGGGAUGCAAGUCAGAUGUGAAAUCUAUGGGCUUAACCCAUAAACUGCAUUUGAAACUGUAUCUCUUGAGUGCUGGAGAGGUAGAUGGAAUUCCUUGUGUAGCGGUGAAAUGCGUAGAUAUAAGGAAGAACACCAGUGGCGAAGGCGAUCUACUGGACAGUAACUGACGCUGAGGCGCGAAAGCGUGGGGAGCAAAC
rnacentral:rRNA from 1 species